rnacentral:lncRNA from 1 species
UGGGGACAGUUUAAAGGCUGACGAGGACAGUAUGCAAAUAUUUCAUAAAGUUUCUAAAUACAUGAAUAAAAUAAAACGCGUUGAAAGUUGAUCUUGUAUAUAAAUAUUUAUAUUAUAUAUAUAAAUACGAUUUUAAAUCGAGUGGAAGGCCCAGCGUAAUUGACUAUAACCGGACAAAUGUGUUGGUUCCAGUGACAUCAAGAAAGUAAAUUACAGUUUCAUUUUUUUCAUUUUUUUUAUCACAUUUUUUUUUUAUUAUUAAUUUUAUUUGUUAGUUGUAUUUUUUUG